rnacentral:rRNA from 1 species
GAUGAACGCUGGCGGCGUGCCUAACACAUGCAAGUCGAGCGAGAUUUAUAGGAGUGGAGACUUCGGUCAAAGCGAGUAUAAUGAAAGCGGACGGGGGAGGAACGCGUGAGCAACCUGCCCUACACAGCGGAAUAGCCACUGGAGACGGUGAUUAAUACCCCAUAAGACCACAGUGCCGCAUGGUACAGGGGUCGAAGCUGAGGGGGCGGAGUAUGAGCUGGCGGCUGCUUAGUUAGUUGGUGAGGUGAUGGUUCACCAAGGCGACGAUCAGUAGCCGGCCUGAGAGGGUGAACGGCCACACUGGAACUGAGACACGGUCCAGACUCCUACGGGAGGCAGCAGUGGGGAAUAUUGCACAAUGGGCGAAAGCCUGAUGCAGCAACGCCGCGUGAAUGAUGAAGGCCUUCGGGUCGUAAAGUUCUGUCCUAGGGGAAGAAUAAAAUGACGGUACCCUGGGAGGAAGCCCCGGCUAACUACGUGCCAGCCGCCGCAGUAAAAC